CCACCCCGCCUCCAAUGUGGUUCAUUCUUGGGUUGUGAAUGACAGAAAAAUGCUGCAGUUUCAUCUAGCCAAGUCAUUGUAAUACAGGUGAUAUCUGCGGAUUCAAAAAGAUGGCCACCCCGCCUCCAAUGUGAUUCAUUCUUGGGUUGUGAAUGACAGAAAAAUGCUGCAGUUUCAUCUAGCCAAGUCAUUGUAAUACAGGUGAUAUCUGCGGAUUCAAAAAGGUAAAUCUAUACAGAUCACUAAUGAAAUCUCAACUGACACCAGGACCAGGCUCAGCAGGGACAUUUCCUUCAGACAUUCGUGUGCUCUCCAUCUUCUCAUGCCAUCCCGCACUGCUCCCAUGAGACCAGGACAUUUAUAAUUUUUUCAAAAUAAUGUUAUCCCAUUUUUCCCCCUUCCGUGGUUACCAGCAAAUGUGUUCUUAUAAUGUGCUUUUUUUUUUUCUUUCUAAUAGUGUGCUUCCACCACACUGCCUGCUAUUCCUGUAAUGUGUACCUCCACUGAUUGCACACCCUGCCAGCCGUGACCUACACAGUGCACCCCAGUUGUUUGCCUUGGAUGGUUCCUCCGCAGGCAGAAUGUUCUUCAUAUGGAUCUUCAGUACAGGGUAUAUCAUACUAUACACAAGUGUCAGUUUUCCCCAUAUAUGCAUUGGGGCCUUGUAUGGCUCACCACCAACAGUGUAACCUUCGUAGUGCACCAACAUGGCUGCCUCAUCUGGUUCACUUGUGGAUGGGAUGAAAAUUACAUGGACCUGACGGUUUUGUUGGGACGCUACUCUGAGCCUUAGAAUGCUGCAUUCACCCCAUUUUGUGUCAUCUCUUCUAGGGGUAGACUAAUCUACCCAGGGUAAUCCUACGCAGUGCACCCAAGAUGGCUGCCUCACCUGGUACCUUGUGAGGGUGAAAUACACAACCCAUGGAAGUUAUAACCCAAAAUGCCUACACCAAUCCUGCAUUAUGCUUACAGUACGCUUGAGGUUUUCCUUUUAUGUAUGUGUGGCUUGUCUAUUGCUGUAUUACUUAAAUCUUUUGUAUUAUGUGCAUUGGUUUUGAUGUCUGUAAAGCGCCUUGAGUCCUGUUUGAGAAAGUGUGCUAUCUAAUUAAAAUUAUUAUUAUUAUUAUAAUGGAGUCUGCAGUGUGAAGCUUCAUGCUGAUUCCUGGGUACCUCAGGGCUCCAGAUACACUCAGGGCAUCCGAUCCCCGGGGCAGCCAGCACAUACUGUAUGAUAAUGAUAACAUGGAUGUUUAUAUGUGCUAAGCGGUUCCCCCCUGCACUAUAUGAUCGGUGCUGCAGCCCAUGCAUUGCACCCACCGCUGACCAUAAUUAUUCAAUAAUCCUCUUGAUGAAGAAACGUGUGAUGCACAGUAUGACUGCCAUAGCAUUAACAUAUAAAUAGUUGUAUGUGAGAAAUAAGAUAUCAUUUUUAUGUUUUUCAAGGGUAACAAAUUACAAUAUGUAAAUUAGAUUAUGGGAGUGUUUUCUGGUUUGUGGGCAAUUACUGAGCCUGUGUCACCAUAAAAAGACUUUUUUACCAGUGCUCAGGAAUUUUCAGCAAUUAGGUGUCAUGCUAUCAUUUAAAUGAUAUGGGAGACCUUUUACCAACCAGCUGAAUUUGGUUAAGGGCUAUGGGGGUCAUUUCCGAGUUGUUCGCUCGUUAUUUUUUUCUCGCAACGGAGCGAUUAGUCGCUAAUGCGCAUGCGCAAUGUCCGCAGUGCGACUGCGCCAAGUAAAUUUGCUAUGCAGUUAGGUUUUUUACUCACGGCAUUACGAGGUUUUUUCUUCGUUCUGGUGAUCGUAAUGUGAUUGACAGGAAGUGGGUGUUUCUGGGCGGAAACUGGCCGUUUUAUGGGUGUGUGUGAAAAAACGCUACCGUUUCUGGAAAAAACGCGGGAGUGGCUGGAGAAACGGAGGAGUGUCUGGGCGAACGCUGGGUGUGUUUGUGACGUCAAACCAGGAACGAAACUGACUGAACUGAUCGCAGAUGCCGAGUAAGUCUGGAGCUACUCAGAAACUGCUAAGAAGUAUCUAUUCGCAAUUCUGCUAAUCUUUCGUUCGCAAUUUUAAGCUAAGCUAAGAUUCACUCCCAGUAGGCGGCGGCUUAGCGUGUGCAAAGCUGCUAAAAGCAGCUUGCGAGCGAACAACUCGGAAUGACCACCUAUAUGCGCACAGAAAUGCAUUUUAAUAAAAAUAUUGAAACAUGCAAAAUUGAAACCAGUAUAAAAGACAGUCCGGACAUUCUGUCACUAAUAUGGAAGAUAUAAAGCAGAUAUCCCACAAAGAAGUAGUAUUAUUAAAUAGCAAGUUACCUUUUAGGCAUGUAUCUUUUUUCUUAGCUAGUCUCUUACUUAUUAUCGCCUAUCAAAAUGUAUUUUUAAAAACAAGUAAGGUUGCCAGAUAGGGACUAGUAUGAAAUACCUACAAUCAAAAUCCCAACAACAAUUGACCGACAGUCAAAAUACCGACAAGGUCAAAUUACUGACAUUUAAAAGACCGACAAAGUCAAAAU